rnacentral:lncRNA from 1 species
UACCUGGAGAAGGUGCGUUCUGGGCCUUGAAGAGGCCGACGACACCUUUGCCAUGCAGGCCUCCAGAGCGCAGCAGCACCGCCUUGGACCGCCCGCUGCGCCAGCAGACCACGGGGAAGCGGUUCUGGCGGUAGCAGCGGGACACGCGCUGCAGGGCGUUGUCCUGGACACUCUGGGGCACGAUCAGCAGCCCUGGGUAGCUGAGAGGAAGCAGAGGCGUGAAGGUGGCUGGCGACCCCACCCGCCUCCAGGCUCACGCCCCAAGCAGGGCAAGAGGAGCCAGCCCAUGGCUCCCAGCAGGAGGCGCUUCCAGCUCAGCCACGGGGCCCCCCAGCCCCCCUCCCCAGCCCUGUGGCCCGUCCCUCUGCCCGGAGCCUCCCCCUCCACAUUCCUUACAUGACCAGAAGCCGUGGCCCAGGCCCACAGCAGGCAGGGAAGACACCCAGUCAUGUGUCCACCACCCGGGCCAGCCCUGGCCGGCCCUCACCUGCGGCAGAUGGCAUACAUGCGGUUGACCGGAGAAAUGCGGAAGGGCUCAGACUUGGCCCGGCUCAGGCUGCUGCUCAGGGUGCCCAGACCGAGGCGCUGGUAGUCGCGACAGCAAGCCCUUUCCACCAGGCUGCUCAUGGUCAUGCGGUCGGAGGGCUUCAGGGCUGAGGACGGGGUCAGCGUGCUGGGCUCCAGCUCCUCCGACACUGCGCAGGCCGGGCACACGUGGUCAUCACGGGGCCACUCCGCCUGCCCUGAUCCUCCCUGGCCAAUGUCAGCAUCCAGAGACCACCCAGGACUCCACCCCCACCCCUCCACCUGAGAUCUCGUCCUCCUGGUCCUCAGGGGGUGGCUGGCCCCGGUGCUCCCAGCUGGGGGGGUUGUACUUCUUGCGAGUGACAUGCUGCCGCCCGAUGGUCUUCUUGGCGUUCUUGACCAGGUUCCGGGACAGGGUUCUGAGGGAAGGGCCCUUGUCCUUGGUGACUCGCGGUGGCCGGCCAGGUGUGUGGGCAGAGCCCAAGGUGAACGCAAAGGUGGCCCUGACGUCCGGCGGGUACCGCAGCUUAUGCAGCUGCUUACGGAAGAGCUCGGCGCUGUCAGACCCCACCUC